AGCGUAGACGGCUGUGCAAGUCUGAAGUGAAAGGCAUGGGCUCAACCUGUGGACUGCUUUGGAAACUGUGCAGCUAGAGUGUCGGAGAGGUAAGUGGAAUUCCUAGUGUAGCGGUGAAAUGCGUAGAUAUUAGGAGGAACACCAGUGGCGAAGGCGGCUUACUGGACGAUGACUGACGUUGAGGCUCGAAAGCGUGGGGAGCAAACA
rnacentral:rRNA from 1 species